rnacentral:rRNA from 1 species
CACCAGACUCCUACGGGAGGCAGCAGUGGGGAAUAUUGCACAAUGGGGGAAACCCCGAUGCAGCGACGCCGCGUGAGCGAUGAAGUAUUUCGGUAUGUAAAGCUCUAUCAGCAGGGAAGAAAAUGACGGUACCUGACUAAGAAGCCCCGGCUAACUACGUGCCAGCAGCCGCGGUAAUACGUAGGGGGCAAGCGUUAUCCGGAUUUACUGGGUGUAAAGGGAGCGUAGACGGCUGUGCAAGCCAGAUGUGAAAGCCCGGGGCUCAACCCCGGGACUGCAUUUGGAACUGUGUGGCUGGAGUGUCGGAGAGGCAGGCGGAAUUCCUAGUGUAGCGGUGAAAUGCGUAGAUAUUAGGAGGAACACCAGUGGCGAAGGCGGCCUGCUGGACGAUGACUGACGUUGAGGCUCGAAAGCGUGGGGAGCAAACAGGAUUAGAUACCCCCGUAUG